UACAGAGGGUGCGAGCGUUAAUCGGAAUUACUGGGCGUAAAGCGUGCGUAGACGGUUAUGUAAGUCGGGUGUGAAAGCCCCGGGCUCAACCUGGGAAUUGCAUUCGAGACUGUGUAGCUAGGGUGCGGAAGAGGGAAGCGGAAUUUCCGGUGUAGCGGUGAAAUGCGUAGAUAUCGGAAGGAACACCAGUGGCGAAAGCGGCUUCCUGGUCCAGCACCGACGUU
rnacentral:rRNA from 1 species